UCCGGUUUGACACCGGCAGUCUCCUAUGAGUCCCCGACAUUACUCGCUGGCAACAUAGGACAGGGGUUGCGCUCGUUGCGGGACUUAACCCAACACCUCACGGCACGAGCUGACGACAACCAUGCACCACCUGUAUACGGCCCCGAAGGACCCUGUCUCCAGGGUUUUCCGGCAUAUGUCAAGCCUUGGUAAGGUUCUUCGCGUUGCGUCGAAUUAAACCACAUGCUCCACCGCUUGUGCGGGCCCCCGUCAAUUCCUUUGAGUUUCAGCCUGCGGCCGUACUCCCCAGGCGGGGUGCUUAACGCGUUAGCUGCGACGCUGAAAGGGUCGCUCCCCCCAGCAUCUAGCACCCAUCGUUUACGGCGUGGACUAC
rnacentral:misc_RNA from 1 species